CCUACGGGCGGCAGCAGUGGGGAAUAUUGGGCAAUGGAGGCAACUCUGACCCAGCAACGCCGCGUGAAUGAUGAAGGUCUUCGGAUUGUAAAGUUCUGUGAUGGGGGAUGAACACAAUGACGGUACCCCAAUAGCAAGCCACGGCCAACUACGUGCCAGCAGCCGCGGUAUUACGUAGGUGGCAAGCGUUAGCCGGAAUGACUGGGCGUAAAGGGUGCGUAGGUGGUUUAGUAAGUUGGCGGUGUAAUUCCGGGGCUCAGCCUCGGCGCUACCGCCAAAACUAGUAGACUAGAGUGCAGGGGGGGUAAGUGGAAUUCCUAGUGGAGCGGUGGAAUGCGUAGAUAUGAGGAGGAACAUCAGGGGCGAAGGCGACUUACUGGACUGUAACUGACACUGAGGCACGAAAGCAUGGGGAGCAAACAGGAUUAGAUACCCGGGUAGUC
rnacentral:rRNA from 1 species